ACAGUCUCAGUUCGGAUUGAAGGCUGAAAUUCGCCUUCAUGAAGCCGGAAUUGCUAGUAAUGGCAGGUCAGCAUACUGCCGUGAAUACGUUCCCGGGCCUUGUACACACCGCCCGUCACACCAUGAGAGUUGGGAAUACCCGAAGCCUGUGAGCUUAACUUUUAGAGGCAGCAGUCGAAGGUAGAAUCAAUGAUUGGGGUGAAGUCGUAACAAGGUACC
rnacentral:rRNA from 1 species